CCUACGGGGGGCUGCAGUAGGGAGUCUUCCACAAUGGGCGAAAGCCUGAUGGAGCAACGCCGCGUGGGUGAAGAAGGUCUUCGGAUCGUAAAACCCUGUUGUUAGAGAAGAAAGUGCGUGAGAGUAACUGUUCACGUUUCGACGGUAUCUAACCAGAAAGCCACGGCUAACUACGUGCCAGCAGCCGCGGUAAUACGUAGGUGGCAAGCGUUAUCCGGAUUUAUUGGGCGUAAAGGGAACGCAGGCGGUCUUUUAAGUCUGAUGUGAAAGCCUUCGGCUUAACCGGAGUAGUGCAUUGGAAACUGGGAGACUGGAGUGCAGAAGAGGAGAGUGGAACUCCAUGUGUAGCGGUGAAAUGCGUAGAUAUAUGGAAGAACACCAGUGGCGAAAGCGGCUCUCUGGUCUGUAACUGACGCUGAGGUUCGAAAGCGUGGGUAGCAAACAGGAUUAGAUACCCGAGUAGUC
rnacentral:rRNA from 1 species